rnacentral:misc_RNA from 1 species
UUGGCUGGGGGGAAAUCUAUUGUUGUGAUGGUGGAGCAUUCUGUGAGAUUGCCGAAAUCGAAAUUGUUGUUGAGGUGUUGCGGUUGGGGGAGAGGGGGCGGCGGGAUGUUGAUCUCGGAGAGCAUGCUCUCGAGCCAGCCGGAGAGAUCUGAUGGAUUGUAGUGGUUGGUGUCGUCGGCGAGGUGGGCGAGGAGGGCGUCGUCGUUGGCGGCGCUGCUACCAAUGGCAUUCUCGAGCUGCUCGAGCUUCUGGGCGACGUCAGCCAUCUCCGAGGAGCGGACCUUGUAGCCGAGCGCAGCCAGAAGCUCGUCGACGCCGGCGUCCGGCUGAUCCUCCAUCUCCAUCAUCUUCCCCUUCCCCCCGCCGUCGCUGCUUUCCUGGUUCUCUCUCUUCAUCUCUGUAUUCCGUUUUUAAUGGGGAUCAGGACUCUGCGGGCGCCG